UAAGCGGAGGAAAAGAAACUAACAAGGAUUCCCCUAGUAACUGCGAGUGAAGCGGGAAAAGCUCAAAUUUAAAAUCUGGUGGUCUUUGGCCAUCCGAGUUGUAAUUUAGAGAAGCGUCUUCCGCGCUGGACCGUGCACAAGUCUCCUGGAAUGGAGCGUCAUAGAGGGUGAGAAUCCCGUCUUUGGCACGGACACACCGGGGCUUUUGUGAUGCGCUCUCGAAGAGUCGAGUUGUUUGGGAAUGCAGCUCAAAAUGGGUGGUGAACUCCAUCUAAAGCUAAAUAUUGGCGAGAGACCGAUAGCGAACAAGUACCGUGAGGGAAAGAUGAAAAGCACUUUGGAAAGAGAGUGAAACAGUACGUGAAAUUGUUGAAAGGGAAACGCUUGAAGUCAGUCACGUCGACCGAGACUCAACCUUGCCUUGGCUUGGUGUACUUCUCGGCUGACGGGUCAGCAUCAAUUUUGCCCCUUGGAUAAUGGCGAGGGAAAUGUGACACCUUUACGGUGUGUUAUAGUCUCUCGUCGCAUGCAAGGGUUGGGAUUGAGGAACUCAGCACGCGCCUUUGGGCGUCGGGGCUUUGCCCACGAUACGUGCUUAGGAUGUUGGCAUAAUGGCUUUAAACGACC
rnacentral:rRNA from 1 species